rnacentral:rRNA from 1 species
UUCCCUACGGGGGGCAGCAGUGGGGGAUAUUGCACAAUGGGGGGAACCCUGAUGCAGCGACGCCGCGUGGGUGAAGGAGCGUUUCGGCGCGUAAAGCCCUAUCGGCAGGGAAGAAGAUGACGGUACCUGACCAAGAAGCCCCGGCUAACUACGUGCCAGCAGCCGCGGUAAUACGUAGGGGGCAAGCGUUAUCCGGAUUUACUGGGUGUAAAGGGAGCGUAGACGGCAGUGCAAGUCCGGAGUGAAAGCCCGGGGCUCAACCCUGGGAAUGCUCUGGAAACUGUAAAGCUGGAGUGAGGGAGGGG